GACGAACGCUGGCGGCGUGCUUAACACAUGCAAGUCGAACGGUAAGGCCCUUCGGGGUACACGAGUGGCGAACGGGUGAGUAACACGUGGGUGAUCUGCCCUGCACUUCGGGAUAAGCCUGCGAAACUGGGUCUAAUACCGGAUAGGACCACUGCCUGCAUGGGGGGUGGUGGAAAGCUUUUGCGGUGUGGGAUGGGCCCGCGGCCUAUCAGCUUGUUGGUGGGGUGAUGGCCUACCAAGGCGACGACGGGUAGCCGGCCUGGGAGGGUGACCGGCCACACUGGGACUGAGAUACGGCCCAGGCUCCUACGGGAGGCAGCAGUGGGGAAUAUUGCACAAUGGGCGCAAGCCUGAUGCAGCGACGCCGCGUGAGGGAUGACGGCCUUCGGGUUGUAAACCUCUUUCAGCACCGACGAAGCGCAAGUGACGGUAGGUGCAGAAGAAGGACCGGCCAACUACGUGCCAGCCGCCGCCGUAA
rnacentral:rRNA from 1 species